GCAAGUCGAGCGGAUGAAGGGGGCUUGCUCCCUGAUUUAGCGGCGGACGGGUGAGUAAUGCCUAGGAAUCUGCCUGGUAGUGGGGGAUAACGUUCCGAAAGGAACGCUAAUACCGCAUACGUCCUACGGGAGAAAGCAGGGGACCUUCGGGCCUUGCGCUAUCAGAUGAGCCUAGGUCGGAUUAGCUAGUUGGUGAGGUAAUGGCUCACCAAGGCGACGAUCCGUAACUGGUCUGAGAGGAUGAUCAGUCACACUGGAACUGAGACACGGUCCAGACUCCUACGGGAGGCAGCAGUGGGGAAUAUUGGACAAUGGGCGAAAGCCUGAUCCAGCCAUGCCGCGUGUGUGAAGAAGGUCUUCGGAUUGU
rnacentral:rRNA from 1 species